rnacentral:rRNA from 1 species
UGGGGGAUAUUGCACAAUGGGGGGAACCUUGAUGCAGCGACGCCGCGUGAGGGAUGGAGGCCUUCGGGUUGUGAACCUCUUUCGCUCGUGUGCAAGCCGCUAUUUGGGUAGUGGUGAGUGUAGCGGGUAAAGAAGCGCCGGCUAACUACGUGCCAGCAGCCGCGGUAAUACGUAGGGCGCGAGCGUUGUCCGGAUUUAUUGGGCGUAAAGGGCUUGUAGGCGGUUUGUCGCGCCUGUCGUGUAAUCCUCUGGCUUAACUGGGGGUGUGCGGUGGGUACGGGCAGGCUUGAGUGCGGUAGGGGAGAUUGGAAUUCCUGGUGUAGCGGUGGAAUGCGCAGAUAUCAGGAGGAACACCGGUGGCGAAGGCGGGUCUCUGGGCCGUUACUGACGCUGAGGAGCGAAAGCGUGGGGAGCGAACAGG